AUCAAAUUCCGGGGUCACCGCGACCUUAUCCGGUAGAGUGGGUCUGGGACAUUCAGCUCGUAGUCGUUUGCGGACCUCCCGAUCUAGGGGCCUUCUGAUCCAAAAAUGAAUAUACUGGGAGAGAUGGUCUGGUAGUGACCAUUCGGAUGAUCGAGGAUAUCUGAUUUGUCUUGGGUCAAAAAGCGGUUGGCCAAGUGAAUCCAGAAAAGAUUCAGUAUCCCUAGAUGGAAGUGAUCCGGGUAACAUAACUUCAGAUGGGAGGUCUCCCAUAGUCGACUGAGGGAGAGGAGGCCCUUUUAUGGAAGUCUCGGGCCAGUCCUCCUCAUCUUCUGAGGAGUGGUCAGCUUGCCAUUCAUCUAGGAUGGCUAAGGGAUGCAAGUCAAAAGAGUCUUCCUCUUCUUCUGACAGAGUAGGUUGGAUGGAGUGUUUCUCUCUAGCAUCCACCUGUUUAGGGCGUUUCGACGGUUCUUUCCCCUUACGCUUGAGGGGUUCAGGCCCAUUCCCUUUCCAAUAACGUUUACAUGGUUUGGAAGGGUCUCUUUUGUUGGAAUCGGAAUCCUCCGCCUCUUCGUCAGAAAGCGGGGUGUCGGAAAUUUUAGGGUCUUUUGGCUCAAUGGGCAGCACCCGAGCCAGGGCCUUUUCAAGAGAAGCAGCUACGGCUGCAUUUAUGAUAGCUUGCAAGUUUUGAUCUUGAUUUGAAGCCUCCAUAGCAACAGUGGUACCUAUGGGGCAGAAUAGGCCAGUGUUAGAGUGUAUUAAUAAGGCCGUCUCUAGAUAUCACAGUAUGUUAUCAUUUCAGAUUGCAAGCUGUAAGUGGGGGUCACCCAGUAUAAGUCACCUCAGGGGAUACUUUUUCAAACCCGUAUAGAGGUAUAGUGGCACAGACAAAGCGGGCCAAUCAUGGGCUGUAUAUAAUAACAGCAAUCAUAAUUUAGUUUAUGAGUUUACUUUAUGCACAUGCAUAGUAAAGAAAAGUUGUAAUCAUAAAGUUUAUAUGGGAAGAAAAAUUGUUUAGGUAGUAAAUUAAUUGAUUUGGACUAAAAUAUAUGUAGUACCUAUUAUUGACCACCAGAGGGAAAUAGAGAGACACAGGGAAGAGAGACUGCGUGUGGAGUCAAACUCCUUCUUUAUCAGAGAAGGAGUAAACAGGUAGAGGACCCUCUGGUGUAAAUAGGUGUUUGUAUUGUAUACAAUAUUGUUUAACUUUAAGCAAUGUAAAUAAUGGCCGCCGCACGGCCGGAGUGAAUGGAGAUCGCGGCUCCAAGAAAAUGGCCGCCGCGAUCUCGCGCGUGCGCACUAGUGAGG